rnacentral:rRNA from 1 species
CCUGGUGUAGCGGUGAAAUGCGCAGAUAUCAGGAGGAACACCGGUGGCGAAGGCGGAUCUCUGGGCCAUUACUGACGCUGAGGAGCGAAAGCGUGGGGAGCGAACAGGAUUAGAUACCCUGGUAGUCCACGCCGUAAACGUUGGGAACUAGGUGUGGGUCACAUUCCACGUGGUCCGCGCCGCAGCUAACGCAUUAAGUUCCCCGCCUGGGGAGUACGGCCGCAAGGCUAAAACUCAAAGGAAUUGACGGGGGCCCGCACAAGCAGCGGAGCAUGUGGCUUAAUUCGACGCAACGCGAAGAACCUUACCAAGGCUUGACAUAUACCGGAAACGGCCAGAGAUGGUCGCCCCCUUGUGGUCGGUAUACAGGUGGUGCAUGGUUGUCGUCAGCUCGUGUCGUGAGAUGUUGGGUUAAGUCCCGCAACGAGCGCAACCCUUGUCCUGUGUUGCCAGCAUGCCCUUCGGGGUGAUGGGGACUCACGGGAGACUGCCGGGGUCAACUCGGAGGAAGGUGGGGACGACGUCAAGUCAUCAUGCCCCUUAUGUC